UUGAACGCUAGCGGGAUGCUUUACACAUGCAAGUCGAACGGCAGCGCGAGAGAGCUUGCUCUCUUGGCGGCGAGUGGCGGACGGGUGAGUAAUAUAUCGGAACGUGCCCAGUAGCGGGGGAUAACUACUCGAAAGAGUGGCUAAUACCGCAUACGCCCUACGGGGGAAAGGGGGGGAUCGCAAGACCUCUCACUAUGGGAGCGGCCGAUAUCGGAUUAGCUAGUUGGUGGGGUAAAGGCUCACCAAGGCAACGAUCCGUAGCUGGUUUGAGAGGACGACCAGCCACACUGGGACUGAGACACGGCCCAGACUCCUACGGGAGGCAGCAGUGGGGAAUUUUGGACAAUGGGGGAAACCCUGAUCCAGCCAUCCCGCGUGUAUGAUGAAGGCCUUCGGGUUGUAAAGUACUUUUGGCAGAGAAGAAAAGGUAUCUCCUAAUACGAGAUACUGCUGACGGUAUCUGCAGAAUAAGCACCGGCUAACUACGUGCCAGCAGCCGCGGUAAUACGUAGGGUGCAAGCGUUAAUCGGAAUUACUGGGCGUAAAGCGUGUGUAGGCGGUUCGGAAAGAAAGAUGUGAAAUCCCAGGGCUCAACCUUGGAACUGCAUUUUUAACUGCCGAGCUAGAGUAUGUCAGAGGGGGGUAGAAUUCCACGUGUAGCAGUGAAAUGCGUAGAUAUGUGGAGGAAUACCGAUGGCGAAGGCAGCCCCCUGGGAUAAUACUGACGCUCAGACACGAAAGCGUGGGGAGCAAA
rnacentral:rRNA from 1 species